rnacentral:sRNA from 1 species
AUGCAGAAAAACUCAUUCAAGGAGGAUACAGAGGAACCUCAGUUUGAAACAUCUCUCCAACAGUUUGUUUAGCUUGGCCAUGAGAAGCGAGGAGACAAAAAAAAAAGCAUUGGGUCUUAUGGUAAUGGCAAAACGGCAAGUCAUAUAUCGGCAUCAGGCUCGGUUCUUCGAGUUCU